rnacentral:lncRNA from 1 species
UUUUCGCUCGCCGCCGCCGUCCAACAGGUAAGUUAUUUGUUAUUUGUCUUUUUUUUUAUUUUUUUUAUUUUCCUUAUUUAUAAUCUGCAGUUGUUAAUGUUUACGUUAUUUUUUUUUUUGACAUUUUAAUUUUUUUAUUUUUGUUUAGUUGAUUGUUUAUUGUCCGUUUAUUGUUUGAUUAAUCUGCAGUUAACUUUGUGUUAUAAUUUAUUAUUUUGGUUUUGUUAUUAAUUAUUUAUUAUAAUUUGUUUGUUGUUUGUUUAUAUUUAAGAUUAAUGGUUUUGGUUUAUAUUGUUUUUAUGUUUUGUUGUUUGUUUUUGUUAGUAAAAAUUCUGACUUUGGAUUAGUUUUUUGUUUUUUUUGUUAUUUUUUAGAUAUUAGUUAUGGUUUUUUUUUUUUUUUUUUUUUUUUUUUUUAAAAUAUUAUUAUGGUUUUUUUUUUUUUUUUUUUUGUAUAGUUUGGUUAAUUGGUUUUUACGGUUAAUUAGUUUGUAUGUUAAUUGGUUUUAGAUAUUCGUUUGUUGGUUUUUGUAUAUAAUGAAUUAGGUUGUUGUUAAUUAGUUUAGUUUGUUAAUUAGGUAAGUCCUUUAAUUAGAUUAGUUUUCACAUAUAAUUUCUUAGAGAUAAAAGAAAAAACGUUGUUAUUAUAAUUUGUUAAUGUGUUUGUUAAUAAAAAUCUUCUUUAGGAUAGUUAGUUUGUUAAUUAGUUCAGUUUGUUAAUUAGUUUAAUUUUUUAAUUCGGUUAGUUUUUUAUUUAUUUUCUUGUCAAUUUUAUGCAGACUCAAGCAUCUUAACACAUUAAUUUGUUAAAAAAAAAUGCACAAUUGAGUAAGCAUAAUUCAUACAUUCAUUGAUAGGCGUGCCGAGCUUGUCAGAGUAAGCACAAUUGAGUAUUUUUUUCUGUUUUUUCAUAUAAAUUUGAAUAUUUUGCAUUGUUCUGAUCCUGUUGUAUUCUAUAUUUGUAAGGAUAACUAUACUACGGGGAAAGAGAGAGCUACUGUAGCUCAGGCUCAGACUGGUAAGUAGCCUACAAUCGAUGAGUUGCAGCUUUAUCUCGAGGCUGCAGGAGGCGAGAAGAAGAGAAAAGUCUACGACAUUAGUUCGCAGUCUGAUAUUUUUUAUAGUCGCACGCAUGGGGCUUCAGCGAGUAGAGCCACACCAGUUGAGCCGGAUGCAAUUACAGAGGAGAUUCAGAAUUUACGGGCUCAGCUUCAGGCACAGCAAUAGAUAUUACAGCUUAUAUUGCAGCAGCAAUAGCUGAUUGAAAUGUAUGCUUGAGAUCGAUCUAUUGCAUCACCAGCUCCCUCUACACCGACAAAUCACUCUGAUCCCUCGGCUUCUUUAAUUCUGCCUGCUUCUCAGAGUUCCAUUAUGGAUUUUACAGAUCAGACCCCACCUUAGACAUCUUUUUUGCUAUUAUGUUUAUUUUGUACAUAUUGCAGUAUAAUUUGUACAAUUUUAUUCAC